UAUAAUAUUCAGCUGCCAAUCCUAGCGAUUCCGCAGUGUUAUAUUUUCCAUGUAAUGACUGUUUAUAUUAAAGGAUAAUGAUUCCCGACUUGCCAUACUUCAAAGAAUUUCAAUAAUCGUUGGUGGGUGUGUAAUUCUCUGUGUUUGCAGUCGGGCAAGAAUUUUCAUGGGACUCCCCCAAAGUUGACAAUGCUAAUACGGUAGUAUUAGUACGACCAGCAGCAGGUGAUAUGAUUUCCAAUCUAUUUAUACGGAUCAAGGGAUGGACUGACUAUAAAGAAUGCACAAGUGUCUGCUGAAGCUCCAAGAAAUACAGAAGUGAAUGGGAGAGACCACCAGAAGGAUGGGCAAAAACCAAUUGGGAUGCUGCUAUAAUGCUAUUGACAGGUCUAGGAAUAAAAUAGGAAUUGGAGUUGUUGUUCGGGAUCAUGAAAGACAAGUUAUGGCUACCUGACGUGCAUCCAAAAUUCUCAAAGCUAAGGCCAUCCUCGUUGAAGCUUUUGCCGCCUAAUUUGGGAGAGAAUUGGGGUUGCAACAAGUCCUGAUGGAGGGAGAUGCUUCACAAGUUGUGAAUGCUCUCAGGAACUUUCUGAAAGAAUAGGGGGAUGAUGAACUGAGACAUACUGCUUAGGAUGCUCAUUAUUUUGGGUCUUUUCUAUAGAGAGUCUUGAUGUUGCGGCCAUUACGACACUGGCGCACCGCAGUCCUUGCUCAAGGAUACAGAAUAAUCAGAUUAAGCCAUACAUGAAGAGAUUUUUCUUUCCACACAUGGCGACAUCCCAUGCUUUUGUUGUGAAUAUUGCAUGCCUCAUUUGUGCCA